rnacentral:ncRNA from 1 species
UCUUAUCAAGAGUGGUAGAGGGACUGACCCCAUGAUACCCAGCAAUCUAUUUUUAUAUAUAAAUGAUAUAUAAAGUGUGCUGCUAAAUCCUGUAGCUUUUAGCUAGUAGAUGAG